rnacentral:lncRNA from 1 species
AUCCUUGUUAAUGUUUCCAAAGAGGACAAGAUUUGCUGUUCCCUGUGCUUACAGAGGAGCACAGGCUGGGGACACCUGUCGUUUUCCCCAUGGACAUGAUGGGCCACCUGGCAUUCCCUGAGCUGUGCCUUAGUAAAAGCAAUGGAAAGAAAUCCUAAAAAGAUGGGGCAGCCCCUAGCAGUGCCUGGAGAGCUUACUUCAGUGGAGGUAUGGCUUUCCCCAACUGUGUAUCAGAGAGCAGCGGGCCCUGUGGCAACAUCAGACGGAAAGCGGUGCUGUAGGGAACCUCACACCCCAAGGCACUGCUCCUUUACUCUUUAGUACUAGGGGCAGGCAGACAUAGAAGACCUAGGAAAUGAGAAGAACUGGGUACAUGAUGUGGAAGUCAUAAAGAAUCAAUACAGAAUUAUGUUAAAAAAAUAGAAUCCAAAGUAAAAGGCUUGGCAUGUGCUUGGUGGGUGUGGUGGUAGGGUGGGAACAAAGAGGUCUAAGUUUCAGUAUCCUAAAACUGGUGCUCCCUUGAUUUGAGGAAGCUCACAUCGCACACUCUAAGGUUGACUUAGUGCCUGGUCACUGUAGGCAGAAUCAGUCAGACUUCCCACCUACCUGUGCCAGAAACUAAACUGAUGCUGUGGCCUUCAUCUGACUGACUCUUAAGCCACUUUAAGUCUGCAAAUUUGA